GAUGAACGCUGGCGGCGUGCCUAAUACAUGCAAGUCGAGCGAACGGACGAGAAGCUUGCUUUUCUGAUGUUAGCGGCGGACGGGUGAGUAACACGUGGAUAACCUACCUAUAAGACUGGGAUAACUUCGGGAAACCGGAGCUAAUACCGGAUAAUAUUUUGAACCGCAUGGUUCAAAAGUGAAAGACGGUCUUGCUGUCACUUAUAGAUGGAUCCGCGCUGCAUUAGCUAGUUGGUAAGGUAACGGCUUACCAAGGCAACGAUGCAUAGCCGACCUGAGAGGGUGAGCGGCCACACUGGAACUGAGACACGGUCCAGACUCCUACGGGAGGCAGCAGUAGGGAAUCUUACGCAAUGGGCGAAAGCCUGACGGAGCAACGCCGCGUGAGUGAUGAAGGUCUUCGGAUCGUAAAACUCUGUUAUUAGGGAAGAACAUAUGUGUAAGUAACUGUGCACAGCUUGACGGUACCUAAUCAGAAAGCCACGGCUAACUACGUG
rnacentral:rRNA from 1 species